UGUGAUUGUGCACUUUUGAGAUU
rnacentral:piRNA from 1 species